rnacentral:rRNA from 1 species
CACUUACCCUUGGGACCGGGCUAACCCUUGGGAAACUAGGGCUAAUACCGGAUAGUGCAUCGAUUGCUGGAAUGCACGAUGUACGAAAGCUGAGGCGCCCAAGGAUAGGUCUGUGGCCGAUUAGGUUGUUGUUGAUGUAACGGAUCAACAAGCCUACGAUCGGUACGGGUUGUGAGAGCAAUAGCCCGGAGAUGGGUUCUGAGAGAAGAACCCAGGUCCUACGGGACGCAUCAGGCGCGAAAACUUUACAAUGUGCGAAAGCACGAUAAGGGAACUCUGAGUGCCUCCUAAGGAGGCUGUUCAGAUGUUUAAAAAGCAUCUGGAGGAAGGGCUGGGCAAGACCGGUGCCAGCCGCCGCGGUAACACCGGCAGCCCAAGUGGUGGUCACGCUUACUGGGUCUAAAGCGUCCGUAGCCGGCUAGGUAAGUUCCUUGGGAAAUUUAAUCGCUUAACGAUUAAGCUACCUGGGAAUACUAUCUGGCUUGGGACCGGGAGAGGUCAGAGGUACCUCAAGGGUAGGGGUGAAAUCCGUUAAUCCUUGGGGGACCACCGGUAGCGAAGGCGUCUGACCAGACCGGAUCCGACGGUGAGGGACGAAGGCUAGGGGAGCGAAGCGGAUUAGAUACCCGCGUAGUCCUAGCUGUAAACGAUGCGGGCUAGGUGUUGGUAUUACUGCGAGUGAUGCCAGUGCCGAAGGGAAGCCGUUAAGCCCGCCAUCUGGGGAGUACGGUCGCAAGGCUGAAACUAAAAGGAAUUGGCGGGGGAGCACUACAACGGGUGGAGCUUGCGGUUCAAUUGGAUUCAACGCCGGAAAUCUCACCGGAGGGGACAGCGAGAUGAAGGUCAGGCUAAAGACCUUACCAGAUUAGCUGAGAGGUGGUGCAUGGCCGUCGGCAGUUCGUGUCGUGAAACAUCCUGUUAAGUCAGGCAACGGGCGAGACCCGUGCUCACAGUUGCCAGCAUGUUCUCCGGAACGAUGGGCACUCUGCGAGGACCGCCAUCGCUUAGAUGGAGGAAGAAGCGGGCCACGGUAGGUCAGUAUGCCCCGAAUCCUCCGGGCUACACGCGUGCUACAAUGGGUAGUACAAUGGGUAUUGACCCCGAAAGGGGGAGGUAAUCUCCUAAAGCUACCCUCAGUUGGGAUCGAGGGCUGCAACUCGCCCU